ACACAUGCAAGUCGAGGGGCAGCAUGGUCUUAGCUUGCUAAGGCCGAUGGCGACCGGCGCACGGGUGAGUAACACGUAUCCAACCUGCCGUCUACUCUUGGACAGCCUUCUGAAAGGAAGAUUAAUACAAGAUGGCAUCAUGAGUCCGCAUGUUCACAUGAUUAAAGGUAUUCCGGUAGACGAUGGGGAUGCGUUCCAUUAGAUAGUAGGCGGGGUAACGGCCCACCUAGUCUUCGAUGGAUAGGGGUUCUGAGAGGAAGGUCCCCCACAUUGGAACUGAGACACGGUCCAAACUCCUACGGGAGGCAGCAGUGAGGAAUAUUGGUCAAUGGGCGAGAGCCUGAACCAGCCAAGUAGCGUGAAGGAUGACUGCCCUAUGGGUUGUAAACUUCUUUUAUAAAGGAAUAAAGUCGGGUAUGCAUACCCGUUUGCAUGUACUUUAUGAAUAAGGAUCGGCUAACUCCGUGCCAGCAGCCGCGGUAAUACGGAGGAUCCGAGCGUUAUCCGGAUUUAUUGGGUUUAAAGGGAGCGUAGAUGGAUGUUUAAGUCAGUUGUGAAAGUUUGCGGCUCAACCGUAAAAUUGCAGUUGAUACUGGAUAUCUUGAGUGCAGUUGAGGCAGGCGGAAUUCGUGGUGUAGCGGUGAAAUGCUUAGAUAUCACGAAGAACUCCGAUUGCGAAGGCAGCCUGCUAAGCUGCAACUGACAUUGAGGCUCGAAAGUGUGGGUAUCAAACAGGAUUAGAUACCCUGGUAGUCCACACGGUAAACGAUGAAUACUCGCUGUUUGCGAUAUACGGCAAGCGGCCAAGCGAA
rnacentral:rRNA from 1 species